rnacentral:tRNA from 1 species
CGGAUAGGGUAGUCUGGAUAUCCUCGGGGCCUGCGGAGCCCUUGACCCGGGUUCGAAUCCCGGUCCGGGCA